UAGGAAUUUUUCCUAUAGGAAUUCCUAUAGGAAUUUUUCCUAUAGGAAUUCCUAUAGGAAUUCCUAUAGGAAAAAUUCCUAUAGGAAUUUUGUAGCAAAAAUUCC